UUACGUCCCAAGGUGAUAGCAUCUCCUCGGCUGGUACUCGCUCGAAGUAGGGCGUAGUCCCUUUGUUCCCCGCCGGUAAAAUGUAGAAUGGUCGCUGUGAAGAUCUGAAUGUGUGGUGAGUGCUCUGAGAGGAUUUUUUUCCACAUAUAGUGAUGGAUUUAAUGGAAAAUCGAAGCCUCUUGAGAGUCAAAUACCAGUUCUACAAACCGGCAUUGUUGCCCAUUUUUUCCUGUGUUAUGUAUGAUGGUCAAGCCCUGAUUUCAUCGAAGAGAUGUCGUUCCUGUUCCGUGAUGUUUUGUUUCCAGUUCCCAGAAAUGAAGUCUCCAAGUCCCCAUUGUCCUGAAAUUGAAGAUUGAAGCCAUGUCUUCCCCUGCCCCAGGUCGAUGACCCCGUUUUGUUUUUGUUUGUGUACCCCGUGUGACAGUAAAUAAAGGUAUGAUACAUUUGCUAAUUUUGUUAAAUUUCAAGAGGAUAAUAUACUAAAGUUUAUUGGUAAAGAGUUUAAAAGUAUAAUAGUCGCUUUCAAAAUGGAAAAGUUUCUUGUAAUAACGUUUGUUGUUAGUUUGAUAUCUAAAGAUCCCGUAAUAUAAUAUUUAAAAGUCCUGUUUUGCUAUGAUAGUUGUUUAAAAUUGUUUUGUUUGAAUAUAAAUUUGCAUAUCAUGUAAUAAAAAUAAAAUGACAGUGACUUUGACAUUUGACAGCUACGUCAAAUCUUGUGUUUGUUUUGAAAUCGUUGAAAUACACUGCUAAACAAAGUUAAAUUUUGUUGUAUUCAAGAAAAAUAAUGUAAAAUUGAAGAUUUUUUGUACGGAAUUAAUGUAAAAGCUUUGUGGACAUUUUGUCCUGUAGUAAAGUCAAUAAGUUUGAGGUUUUAAAUAAAUGUUUGUGAAAGUGUA